CACGAACCGUACGAACGUUAUUCGGAAUUACUGGGCUUAAAGGGUUUGUAGGCGGCCUUAUAAGUCAGGUGUGAAAGCCCUCGGCUCAACCGAGGAAUAGCGCUUGAUACUGUAAGGCUUGAGGGAGACAGGGGUAAGCGGAACUGAUGGUGGAGCGGUGAAAUGCGUUGAUAUCAUCAGGAACACCGGUGGCGAAAGCGGCUUACUGGGUCUCUUCUGACGCUGAGGAACGAAAGCUAGGGUAGCGAACGGGAUU
rnacentral:rRNA from 1 species